rnacentral:rRNA from 1 species
ACAUGCAAGUCGAACGGACCCUUCGGGGUUAGUGGCGGACGGGUGAGUAACGCGUGAGAACCUACCUUCUGGAUGGGGAUAACAGUUGGAAACGACUGCUAAAACCCGAUGUGCCGAGAGGUGAAAAAUUUAUUUCCAGAAGAUGGGCUCGCGUCUGAUUAGCUAGUUGGUGGUGUAAGGGACUACCAAGGCGACGAUCAGUAGCUGGUCUGAGAGGAUGAGCAGCCACACUGGGACUGAGACACGGCCCAGACUCCUACGGGAGGCAGCAGUGGGGAAUUUUCCGCAAUGGGCGAAAGCCUGACGGAGCAAUACCGCGUGAGGGAGGAAGGUCUUUGGAUUUUAAACCUCUUUUCUUAGGGAAGAAGAUCUGACGGUACCUAAGGAAUAAGCAUCGGCUAACUCCGUGCCAGCAGCCGCGGUAAUACGGAGGAUGCAAGCGUUAUCCGGAAUUAUUUGGCGUAAAGCGUCCGUAGGUGGUGAUACAAGUCUGCCGUCAAAGAGUGGGGCUUAACCCCAUAAAGGCGGUGGAAACUGUGUGACUAGAGUUCGGUAGGGGUAGCGGGAAUUCCCAGUGUAGCGGUGAAAUGCGUAGAUAUUUGGAAGAACAUCGGUGGCGAAAGCGCGCUACUGGGCCGAAACUGACACUGAGGGACGAAAGCUAGGGUAGCGAAAGGGAUUAGAUACCCCUGUAGUCCUAGCCGUAAACGAUGGAUACUAGGCGUGGCUUGUAUCGACCCGAGCCGUGCCGAAGCUAACGCGUUAAGUAUCCCGCCUGGGGAGUACGCACGCAAGUGUGAAACUCAAAGGAAUUUACGGGGGCCCGCACAAGCGGUGGAGUAUGUGG